GGGAUUGCCUCAGUAACGGCGAGUGAAGCGGCAACAGCUCAAAUUUGAAAUCUGGCUCCUCUCGGGGUCCGAGUUGUAAUUUGUAGAGAGUGUUUCGGGGGAGACCGCGGUCUAAGUCCAUUGGAACAUGGCGUCAAAGAGGGUGAGAAUCCCGUCUGUGACCGCGGAUCGAGCCCAUGUGAAGCCUCUUCGACGAGUCGAGUUGUUUGGGAAUGCAGCUCAAAAUGGGUGGUAAAUUUCAUCUAAAGCUAAAUACUGGCUGGAGACCGAUAGCGCACAAGUAGAGUGAUCGAAAGAUGAAAAGCACUUUGGAAAGAGAGUUAAACAGUACGUGAAAUUGUUGAAAGGGAAGCGCUUGCGACCAGACCUGCCCGUGGGCGAUCAGCCGCUGUUCUCAGCGGUGCACUCGUUCCACGAUCAGGCCAGCAUCGGUUUCGGCGGUCGGAUAAAGGCCUUGGGAAUGUAGCUUCCCUCCGGGGGAGUCUUAUAGCCCUUGGUGCAAUGCGGCCAGCCGGGACCGAGGACCGCGCUUCGGCUAGGAUGCUGGCGUAAUGGUCGUAAGCGACCCGUCUUGAAACACGGACCAAGGAGUCUAACAUCUAUGCGAGUGUUUGGGUGUUAAACCCAUGCGCGGAAUGAAAGUGAACGGAGGUGAGAACCCUUAAGGGCGCAUCAUCGACCGAUCCAGAUGUCUUCGGAUGGAUUUGAGUAUGAGCAUAGCUGUUGGGACCCGGUAUGUCUUUUACUCCUGCAUCACAUCCCUCUAUUGUAUGAAAUUUGCUAACAGUUUGAUUUUAGAAAGAUGGUGAACUAUGCCUGAAUAGGGUGAAGCCAGAGGAAACUCUGGUGGAGGCUCGCAGCGGUUCUGACGUGCAAAUCGAUCGUCAAAUUUGGGUAUAGGGGUGAGUUUUUGAAUUGUUUCUGUUACAACUUGAUAUAAUACUGACUUGUUCUAGGCGAAAGACUAAUC
rnacentral:rRNA from 1 species